rnacentral:rRNA from 1 species
GGGGAAUAUUGGACAAUGGGCGAAAGCCUGAUCCAGCCAUGCCGCGUGAGUGACGAAGGCCUUAGGGUUGUAAAGCUCUUUUGGCGGGGAAGAUAAUGACGGUACCCGCAGAAUAAGCUCCGGCUAACUUCGUGCCAGCAGCCGCGGUAAUACGAAGGGAGCUAGCGUUGUUCGGAAUCACUGGGCGUAAAGCGCACGUAGGUGGAUCGUUAAGUCAGGGGUGAAAGCCCGAGGCUCAACCUCGGAAUUGCCUCUGAUACUGGCGGUCUAGAGUUCGAGAGAGGUGAGUGGAAUUCCUAGUGUAGAGGUGAAAUUCGUAGAUAUUAGGAAGAACACCGGUGGCGAAGGCGGCUCACUGGCUCGAUACUGACACUGAGGUGCGAAAGCGUGGGGAGCAAAC